UACGUAGGGGGCAAGCGUUGUCCGGAAUCAUUGGGCGUAAAGAGCGUGUAGGCGGCCAGAAAAGUCCGCUGUGAAAACUCGAGGCUCAACUUCGAGCUGUCGGUGGAAACUUUCUGGCUAGAGUCCGGAAGAGGAGAGUGGAAUUCCUGGUGUAGCGGUGAAAUGCGCAGAUAUUGGGAGGAACACCAGUGGCGAAGGCGGCACUCUGGGCCAGUACUGACGCUGAGACGCGAAAGCGUGGGGAGCGAACAGG
rnacentral:rRNA from 1 species